CAUUUUAAGGGGCCAGUUAUUGCAUGGAUCCAGGAUAUAAUGCAUCCUGAAAAAGUUCCCUUGGCCUUUGGAAUUAAAAUAUCACCCCACCCCCACACAUCAUCAUCACAUACCCUUCA